ensembl:miRNA
GGCUCAGUAGCCAGUGUAGAUCCUGUCUUUCGUAAUCAGCAGCUACAUCUGGCUACUGGGUCUC